rnacentral:rRNA from 1 species
GUUUGAUCCUGGCUCAGAGCGAACGCUGGCGGCAGGCUUAACACAUGCAAGUCGAGCGGGCGUAGCAAUACGUCAGCGGCAGACGGGUGAGUAACGCGUGGGAACGUACCUUUUGGUUCGGAACAACCCAGGGAAACUUGGGCUAAUACCGGAUAAGCCCUCACGGGGAAAGAUUUAUCGCCGAAAGAUCGGCCCGCGUCUGAUUAGCUAGUUGGUGAGGUAAUGGCCCACCAAGGCGACGAUCAGUAGCUGGUCUGAGAGGAUGAUCAGCCACAUUGGGACUGAGACACGGCCCAAACUCCUACGGGAGGCAGCAGUGGGGAAUAUUGGACAAUGGGCGCAAGCCUGAUCCAGCCAUGCCGCGUGAGUGAUGAAGGCCCUAGGGUUGUAAAGCUCUUUUGUGCGGGAAGAUAAUGACGGUACCGCAAGAAUAAGCCCCGGCUAACUUCGUGCCAGCAGCCGCGGUAAU